UACGAAGGGUGCAAGCGUUACUCGGAAUUACUGGGCGUAAAGCGUGCGCAGGCGGUUCUCCAAGUCCGUUGUGAAAGCCCCGGGCUCAACCUGGGAAUGGCAGUGGAAACUAGGGGACUGGAAUCUGGCAGAGGGGGGUGGAAUGCCGCGUGUAGCAGUGAAAUGCGUAGAGAUGCGGCGGAACACCGAUGGCGAAGGCAGCCCCCUGGGCUGAGAUUGACGCUCAGGCACGAAAGCGUGGGGAGCAAACAGG
rnacentral:rRNA from 1 species